UGGCUCAGUUGGUAAAGAAUCUGCCUGCAAUGCAGGAGACCUGGGUUUGAUCCCCAG
rnacentral:tRNA from 1 species